rnacentral:rRNA from 1 species
AUUGAACGCUGGCGGAAUGCUUUACACAUGCAAGUCGAACGGUAGAGGGGGCAACCCCUCGGGAGUGGCGAACGGGUGAGUAAUAUAUCGGAACGUACCCAGUCGUGGGGGAUAACGUAGCGAAAGUUACGCUAAUACCGCAUACGAUCUAAGGAUGAAAGCGGGGGAUCGCAAGACCUCGCGCGAUUGGAGCGGCCGAUAUCAGAUUAGGUAGUUGGUGGGGUAAAGGCUCACCAAGCCAACGAUCUGUAGCUGGUCUGAGAGGACGACCAGCCACACUGGAACUGAGACACGAUCCAGACUCCUACGGGAGGCAGCAGUGGGGAAUUUUGGACAAUGGACGCAAGUCUGAUCAGCCAUUCCGCGUGCAGGAUGAAGGCCCUCGGGUUGGAAACUGCUUUUGUACGGAACGAAAAGGUCUCUCUUAAUACGGGGGACUCAUGACGGUACCGUAAGAAUAAGCACCGGCUAACUACGUGCCAGCCGCCGCCGUAA